rnacentral:rRNA from 1 species
CUACCUUUUUUCUUAGAAAGAGGUAAAUUUCAGAUAAAGUUUUGGUUGGGGCAACCGUGGAGAAAAAGAAUCCUCCAGUUAGUUAGGAAGAAAACCUUUCACCUAAAAAAUUUAGCGACCCAGUUACUCUGGUAAACGGAAAAAGUUACCGCAGGGAUAACAGCGUUAUCUUCUCUAAGAGCCCAUAUUGACGAGAAGGAUUGCGACCUCGAUGUUGGAUUGGGGUAACCAAAGGGUGUAGCAGCUCUUUAAGGUUGGACUGUUCGUCCAUUAACUCCCUACAUGAUCUGAGUUCAGACCGACGUAAGUCAGGUCAGCUUCUAUCUUCUAAAUAACCCUUCUAGUACGAAAGGACCGAAGGGAGGCCUUCAAUGACCAACGUUAAAAGGUAAAAAAACAAGAAAAAAAGUUAAUAAAUAUAUUCCUUAGUUAAAUCUAGGGAACGUCUAAAAGAGACGUGAAAACAAAUUCGCUUAAACCUACGUUAAAAAAAAAGUUUUAGGAUUUUACACAAGGGGACCCCCUUAUAGUUUUCCAGAAUUUUUAAUUUUAAGAAACAUGAAA